rnacentral:tRNA from 2 species
GGGGCUAUAGCUCAGCUGGCUAGAGCGUCGCGCUGGCAGCGCGAAGGUCCGGGGUUCGAAUCCCCGUAGCUCCACAA